GAUGAAGAACGUAGCGAAAUGCGAUAAGUAAUGUGAAUUGCAGAAUUCAGUGAAUCAUCGAAUCUUUGAACGCACCUUGCGCUCUUUGGUAUUCCGAAGAGCAUGCCUGUUUGAGUGUCAUGAAAAUAUCAACCUUGACUUGGGUUUUGUGCUCUAGUCUCGGCUUGGAAUUGGGUGCUUGCCGCUUUUACGAGCGGCUCACCUUAAAUGUAUUAGCUGGAUCUGUCUUUGAGACUUGGUUUGACUUGGCGUAAUAAGUAUUUUGCUAAGGACAUUCUUCGGAGUGGCCUCGUUUCUAGGACGCUUGUCCGCUUUCCAAUACAAGUUCCACCUCGUGGACAUGACUUUUUAUUAUCUGGCCUCAAAUCAGGUAGGACUACCCGCUGAACUUAAGCAUAUCAAUAAGCGGAGGA
rnacentral:misc_RNA from 1 species